rnacentral:rRNA from 1 species
GAUGAACGCUAGCGGAAGGCAUAAUACAUGCAAGUCGAACGGAUGUAGCAAUACAUUAGUGGCGCACGGGUGCGUAACGCGUAUGCAACCUACCUUCAUCAGGGGGAUAACUACCCGAAAGGGUGGCUAACACCGCAUAAUACUAUUGAGUGGCAUCACUUGAUAUUUAAAUCUGAGGAGGAUGAAGAUGGGCAUGCGUCUGAUUAGCUAGUUGGUGUGGUAACGGCGCACCAAGGCGACGAUCAGUAGGGGAACUGAGAGGUUGGUCCCCCACACUGGCACUGAGAUACGGGCCAGACUCCUACGGGAGGCAGCAGUAGGGAAUAUUGGUCAAUGGUGGGAACACUGAACCAGCCAUUCCGCGUGCAGGAAGAAGGGUCUCUGACUUGUAAACUGCUUUAGCAAGGGAAGAAAAAGCUCAUGCGUGAGAAAUUGACGGUACCUUGAGAAUAAGCACCGGCUAACUACGUGCCAGCCGCCGCGGUAACAC